ensembl:lncRNA
GGUCCGUGAACGCAGCAGGACCGCAGCUGCUGCUGAUGAUGUCAUGAGGGGUAUAAAAGGAACGGCUGCAUCUCCCGUUUCAUUCACCUGUUCACUAAUCUGAGCCAGGCAGUGAUCCAGCAGACGGAACCAUGAAGAAGAUGUGCAUCGCGUACCUCGGAGUUCUCCUGCUGGCUCUGCAUCUCUCCUCACAGGUGGUUCGGGCGCAGACCGAUGCCGUGACGACCGCGGACGCGACUGUGUCAAGCAGCACGAUGUCCGUGAACUCCACCAACGCAACCUCGGUGUCACCGGACAACGGCUCCGGCAGCACCGCGUCCUGCACGCUGCUGCUCCCGCUGGCUCUGGCGGCUUCUCUGCUCCACGACUGGUCCUAACGAGCGGACGGCUCUAACCGGACACAUAACGGCCAACACGGGUGGACUGGGGCCGCAGCGGUAGCCUAUUCCAAGAGCAGUCCUUUAAAAUGAUCCCUUCUAAUCAAACGCGUUUGGAUUUCACCAAAGAUUAUUAUUAUUUUUUUUUUUUUUUCUGUCCUCGGUGGGGGAAAUUGUAACAGGAGCGCGCACCGAGUGCAGUCUCCAUUACGCACCAGCCUGGGACGCGCCCUGCUGCUUUACGUCGUUCUGUCCCGUUCUUUGCAAGCGCCCUUCGUGGACUGAAAAUUCCCAUUGUUCUGGGAAACACCGGUCUCUUGGCUGAGGCAGCUGGCUUCUAUGGGGGUGGGAGGAAAGACGGGUAACUUGUGCCCACUGUGCGCUCUAAAAACGAUACUUGAUACCGGAUUCGUUAGGCCUAAAGGUGAUUGUAAGCGAACUUAGAAAAAAUUUGUACCAAAAAAUGAUGGCAAUGUGAAAUGUACUUUUAGACCUUGGAUUUUGUAAGUUCAAUAAAGCUUUAAGCUGUUGGUGACCUGAUGACUUUGCCAGUUUUUCUGAGUUGCAGUGGAUUUCUUGGUAAAAUCUUUGAAGUUGAAAUAACUGUGGAUCCCCUGACUCAACAGCCUCUAUUUGUGGGUGAGAUGAAGGUGUCCUGAGCCAUUAAACCUCUAAACUGUACAGGGGUGUAUAUAAAGAAGGUAGGUCAGCUCUGAACAGAAAAUCAG